GAAAUACGGAAGAAGAGGAAGAAGAAGAAGAAGAGGAAGAAGAAAAAGAAAAAGAAGAAGAAGAAGUAGAAGAAGAAGAAGAAUGGAAGAAAGUUAGAAAAAAAAGAAAGAGCACGAUGUUGAGAGCCAUCUCUCCCCACCCUCUCUUCACUCACUCUCUCUCUCUCUCUCUCUCUCUCUCUCUCUCUCGCGCUCUCUCUCUCUCUCUCAUACUCUCUCUUCGUGUGGCCACGGCACAUCCGACAACCCCUACGGAUAGAUGGAAUUGGAUCGGACGGGUAGAACCGCUCGUGGAAGAGGGUGGACAAGCUUUCCUACAGGCUCACCACGGGAAUAUACGGAGGAGAGAAGAGAGAGAGAGAGAGAGAGAGAGAGAGAAAGAGAGAGACUAGGGGUUCGAAGCAGCGACUUGGAAACGGGGCCACUUUAACGUCCCCUCGACGACGACGUCGACUACGACGUCGACUACGACGACUACGACGACUACGAUGACGACAAUGUUGAGGACGACCCCACGCUUCAAAAUCUACUGACGAUACGUUCUCGGAAAAUGUAUAGACAUAAACAAAUAUUACGGAUGAAUACCUAUAAUAUAUACGGAGGAUUGAUUGAAUUUUGCUGAAAGAAUAUGACGUGAAUGUUUUUUUUUUUUUUCACAAAGACAACGGAUUGUUCUCAAGGUUGACCUUCGGACAACUCUGGUGACAACGUUACACACGCGGAAAUUACUAAUCGCACGGAAAUAAUAGUUGGACGAGCGAUGCGGCGCACGUUGAUUCGUUUUUUCCGCUUUACCUCGAUUCAAUGACGUUCACCUCGUAACUUGGCGAGACGCCAAGUCGGAAAUCGUUCAAGGACCUCUUUACCAUUGGAAAACCGAUCGAUUCUCAAGGUUACAAUGAUUCGUAUACAAUCGUAUACAAUCGUACACAAUCGUACACAAUCGUACACAAUCGUACACAUUCGUACAC